rnacentral:rRNA from 1 species
GGAGGCAGCAGUGGGGAAUAUUGCACAAUGGGCGCAAGCCUGAUGCAGCCAUGCCGCGUGUGUGAAGAAGGCCUUCGGGUUGUAAAGCACUUUCAGUCGUGAGGAAGGUAGUGUAGUUAAUAGCUGCAUUAUUUGACGUUAGCGACAGAAGAAGCACCGGCUAACUCCGUGCCAGCAGCCGCGGUAAUACGGAGGGUGCGAGCGUU